GACGAACGCUGGCGGCGUGCUUAACACAUGCAAGUCGAACGGAAAGGCCCUGCUUUUGUGGGGUGCUCGAGUGGCGAACGGGUGAGUAACACGUGAGUAUCCUGCCCUUGACUUUGUGAUAACUUCAGGCAACUGGGGCUAAUACCGGAUAGGUGCUCCUGCUGCAUGGUGGGGGUUGGAAAGUUUCGGCGGUUGGGGAUGGACUCGCGGCUUAUCAGCUUGUUGGUGGGGUAGUGGCUUACCAAGGCUUUGACGGGUAGGCGGCCUGAGAGGGUGACCGGCCACAUUGGGACUGAGAUACGGCCCAGACUCCUACGGGAGGCAGCAGUGGGGAAUAUUGCACAAUGGGCGGAAGCCUGAUGCAGCAACGCCGCGUGCGGGAUGACGGCCUUCGGGUUGUAAACCGCUUUCGCCUGUGACGAAGCGUGAGUGACGGUAAUGGGUAAAGAAGCACCGGCUAACUACGUG
rnacentral:rRNA from 1 species